GGCUCAGGCAAUCCACUCACCUCAGCCUCCCAAAGCGCAGGAUUACAGGCUGAGCCACCGGGCCCAACAGUACUUAUCUUUCAACAAUUCCUUUGCUUGACAGAAACUUGAGAUGGUGUCUUCAUAAAAGCCUACAUGUAACCACAGCAUAUUACAGUCAAUAAAGAGAGUGGCAUCUGCCUGCCUGCCCACCCGCCCUGCCAAGCUUCUGCUCCUGGUUUUGCACAGCUGUUUCUGCUUGUGCCCUUGUUCCUGACAGCCACAACAACAAGUCAACUCUUAGCUAUCAUUCAGUCAAAUUAUGUCACCUCCUCUAAGAAGCCUCCUCUGACUACCCCUUCAAGUUGGAUGCCACCACAUGUAUAUUUUAAACAAUCUCAUAAAGGCCUAUCUCUAUACAUGGCCUGGCAUCAAGUGGUCACUCAAUAAAUGGUGAGUGAAGAACCAGG